GCUCUUCUGAUGGAAUUGGUAGACGUGCGCGCCUUAGGAGCGCGUGCCGAAAGGCGUGGGGGUUCGACUCCCCCGGAGAGCA
rnacentral:tRNA from 1 species